rnacentral:misc_RNA from 1 species
UCACUACUUGCGUAGGCAGUUUCUUUAGAGUCCCCAGCAUUACCUGAUGGCAACUAAAGAUAGGGGUUGCGCUCGUUAUGGGACUUAACCCGACACCUCACGGCACGAGCUGACGACAACCAUGCAGCACCUCGUAGAAUGUCCGAAGAAGAUCACGUUUCCGCGACUGUCAUUCCACGUUCGAGCCCAGGUAAGGUUCCUCGCGUAUCAUCGAAUUAAACCACAUGCUCCUCCGCUUGUGCGGGCCCCCGUCAAUUCCUUUGAGUUUCAAUCUUGCGACCGUACUCCCCAGGUGGAUCACUUAAUACUUUCGCUAAGACGCUGACUGUGUAUCGCCAACAUCGAGUGAUCAUCGUUUACGGCGUGGACUAC